UACGAAGGGGGCUAGCGUUGUUCGGAAUUACUGGGCGUAAAGCGUUUGUAGGCGGUUAUACAAGUCAGAUGUGAAAUCCUGGGGCUCAACCUCAGAAUUGCAUUUGAAACUGUAUAGCUAGAGAAUGUUAGAGGAAAGUGGAAUUCCUAGUGUAGGAGUGAAAUCCGUAGAGAUUAGGAGGAAUAUCGAUGGCGAAGGCAGCUUUCUGGGACACUUCUGACGCUGAGAAACGAAAGCGUGGGUAGCAAACAGG
rnacentral:rRNA from 1 species